UCAGAGAGUUUGAUCCUGGCUCAGGAUGAACGCUAGCGGCAGGCUUAACACAUGCAAGUCGAGGGGCGAUCGGGAGGGAGCUUGCUUCCUUGCCGGCGACCGGCGCACGGGUGAGUAACACGUAUGCAACCUGCCCUCUUCAGGGGGACAACCUUCCGAAAGGGAGGCUAAUCCCGCGUAUAUCGGUUUCGGGCAUCCGAGAUCGAGGAAAGAUUCAUCGGAAGAGGAUGGGCAUGCGGCGCAUUAGCUUGACGGCGGGGUAACGGCCCACCGUGGCGACGAUGCGUAGGGGUUCUGAGAGGAAGGUCCCCCACAUUGGUACUGAGACACGGACCAGACUCCUACGGGAGGCAGCAGUGAGGAAUAUUGGUCAAUGGGAGAGAUCCUGAACCAGCCAAGCCGCGUGAGGGAAGACGGCCCUAUGGGUUGUAAACCUCUUUUGUCGGAGAACAAAACCCGGGACGUGUCCCGGACUGCGUGUAUCCGAAGAAAAAGCAUCGGCUAACUCCGUG
rnacentral:rRNA from 1 species